ACAAAAGCAGUUGAUAUCAUAGAGAAAGAAGGGUUUCCAUUCAAUAAUGCCUUGGUCCUAGAUGUGCAUACUUGCUCAAGUCAACUGACUUAUUUUAUGACAGAUAAACCAAUAAUCUGAUAUCCAUAUGUUUUAGUCAGUUGCAGAACAAGUGCCACCUAGUUUAGUUUGAGGUUCAAUCCAUUGUAUGAAUCCUUUUAAUAUGAUUAUGUUAUGCAUUUAAAA